UACGGAGGGUGCAAGCGUUGUCCGGAAUCACUGGGCGUAAAGGGCGCGUAGGCGGCGCGGGGAGUCAACGGUGAAAGCUCGGCGCUCAACGCCGAGUCGGCCGUCGAUACUCCCGUGCUUGAGCACUGUAGAGGCAGGUGGAAUUCCGGGUGUAGCGGUGGAAUGCGUAGAGAUCCGGAAGAACACCGGUGGCGAAGGCGGCCUGCUGGGCAGUAGCUGACGCUGAGGCGCGACAGCGUGGGGAGCAAACAGG
rnacentral:rRNA from 1 species